rnacentral:rRNA from 1 species
UCGAACGAAUCCCCAAGGGCUUGCUCUUGGGGGGAAGUGGCGAAAGGGGCAGUAAUGCGUGGGUAACCUACCCCGGGGACCGGGAUAGCCACCCUAACGGGUGGGUAAUACCGGGCGAUGUAGCGAGAUCGCCUGACCUUGCUAUGAAACGAAUUUCGCCUCGGGAGGGGCUCACGUGGUAUUAGCUAGUUGGUGGGGUAACGGCCUACCAAGGCAAAGAUGCCUAGCAGGUGUGAGAGCAUGACCUGCGCCACUGGCACUGAGACACUGGCCAGACUCCUACGGGAGGCUGCAGUCGAGGAUCUUCGGCAAUGGGCGCAAGCCUGACCGAGCGACGCCGCGUGCGCGAUGAAGGCCUUCGGGUUGUAAAGCGCUGUCGAGGGGGAGGAAAGCCCGUAAGGGUCUGACCUAUCCCUGGAGGAAGCACGGGCUAAGUUCGUGCCAGCAGCCGCGGUAAGACGAACCGUGCAAACGUUGUUCGGAAUCACUGGGCUUAAAGGGCGCGUAGGCGGGCAGCCAAGUCAGGGGUGAAAUCUUUCGGCUCAACCGGAAAAUUGCCUUUGAUACUGGCUGUCUUGAGCGAGGUAGGGGCAUGUGGAACUUCCGGUGGAGCGGUGAAAUGCGUUGAUAUCGGAAGGAACGCCGGUGGCGAAAGCGACGUGCUGGACCUCUUCUGACGCUGAGGCGCGAAAGCUAGGGGAGCGAACGGGAUUAGAUACCCCGGUAGUCCUAGCCCUAAACGAUGGGUACUAGGUAGUGACUUAACAUGGGUUCACUGCCGAAGCAAAAGUGUUAAGUACCCCGCCUGGGGAGUAUGGUCGCAAGGCUGAAACUCAAAGGAAUUGACGGGGGCUCACACAAGCGGUG